AAGUCGAGGGGAAACGACGGGGAAGCUUGCUUCCUUGGGCGUCGACCGGCGCACGGGUGAGUAACGCGUAUCCAACCUGCCUCUGACUGAGGGAUAACCCGUCGAAAGUCGGCCUAAUACCUCAUGGCAUCGUCUGCGGGCAUCCAACGACGAUUAAAGAUUUCAUCGGUCAGGGAUGGGGAUGCGUCUGAUUAGUUAGUUGGCGGGGUAACGGCCCACCAAGGCGACGAUCAGUAGGGGUUCUGAGAGGAAGGUCCCCCACAUUGGAACUGAGACACGGUCCAAACUCCUACGGGAGGCAGCAGUGAGGAAUAUUGGUCAAUGGGCGAGAGCCUGAACCAGCCAAGUAGCGUGCAGGAAGACGGCCCUAUGGGUUGUAAACUGCUUUUAUGCGGGGAUAAAGUGAGGGACGUGUCCUUCAUUGCAGGUACCGCAUGAAUAAGGACCGGCUAAUUCCGUGCCAGCAGCCGCGGUAAUACGGAAGGUCCGGGCGUUAUCCGGAUUUAUUGGGUUUAAAGGGAGCGUAGGCCGUGGAUUAAGCGUGUUGUGAAAUGCAGGUGCUCAACGUCUGCACUGCAGCGCGAACUGGUCCACUUGAGUGUGCGCAAC
rnacentral:rRNA from 1 species